rnacentral:rRNA from 1 species
AAUAAGCGGAGGAAAAGAAACCAACAGGGAUUGCCUUAGUAACGGCGAGUGAAGCGGCAAAAGCUCAAAUUUGAAAUCUAGCACUUUCAGUGUUCGAGUUGUAAUUUGAAGAAGGUAACUUUGGAAUUGGCUCUUGUCUAUGUUCCUUGGAACAGGACGUCACAGAGGGUGAGAAUCCCGUGCGAUGAGAUGUCCAAUUCUAUGUAAAGUGCUUUCGAAGAGUCGAGUUGUUUGGGAAUGCAGCUCUAAGUGGGUGGUAAAUUCCAUCUAAAGCUAAAUAUUGGCGAGAGACCGAUAGCGAACAAGUACAGUGAUGGAAAGAUGAAAAGAACUUUGAAAAGAGAGUGAAAAAGUACGUGAAAUUGUUGAAAGGGAAGGGCUUGAGAUCAGACUUGGUAUUUUGUGUUCCUUAUCCUUCUUGGAUUAGGUUCCUCACAGCUUACCGGGCCAGCAUCGGUUUGGAUGGCAGGAUAAUGACAUUGGAAUGUAGCUUUGCUUCGGUGAAGUGUUAUAGACUUUGUUGAUACUGCCUAUCUAGACCGAGGACUGCGUCUUUGACUAGGAUGCUGGCGUA